rnacentral:rRNA from 1 species
GAUCAACGCUGGCGGCGCACAUAAGACAUGCAAGUUGAACGGACUUAAUCGAAAUAUUUCUAUUUUGAAGCGGUUAGUGGCGGACUGGUGAGUAACGCGUAAGGAACCUGCCUAUUAGAGGGGAAUAACAGUGAGAAAUCAUUGCUAAUACCGCAUAUGCCAUAGAUAUCACAUGAUAACAGUGGGAAAGGAGCAAUCCGCUAAUAGAUGGCCUUGCGUCUGAUUAGAUAGUUGGUGGGGUAACGGCCUACCAAGUCGACGAUCAGUAGCCGGACUGAGAGGUUGAACGGCCACAUUGGGACUGAGAUACGGCCCAGACUCCUACGGGAGGCAGCAGUCGGGAAUAUUGCGCAAUGGAGGAAACUCUGACGCAGUGACGCCGCGUAUAGGAAGAAGGUUUUCGGAUUGUAAACUAUUGUAGUGAGGGAAGAGAAAGGACAGUACCUAAGGAGGAAGCUCCGGCUAACUACGU